GCCCUCGUCGUUCAACGGACAGGACGCAGGAUUGCGGAUCCUGCAAUCGAGGUUCGAUUCCUCGCGAGGGCACCA
rnacentral:tRNA from 1 species